rnacentral:rRNA from 1 species
CCCCGAUAACGAACGAGACCUUAACCUGCUAAAUAGCCCGUAUUGCUUUGGCAGUACGCCGUUUUUUUGGGGGGACUAUCGGCCCAAGCCGAGGGAAGUUUGAGGCAAACACAGGUCUGAGAUCCCCUUAGAUUUUUUGGGGCGCACGCGCGCUACACUGACGGAGCCAGAGAGUACUUCCUUGGCCGAAAGGUCUGGGUAAUCUUGUGAAACUCCGUCGUGCUGGGGAUAGAGCAUUGCAAUUAUUGCUCUUCAACGAGGAAUUCCUAGUAAGCGCAAGUCAUCAGCUUGCGUUGAUUACGUCCCUGCCCCUUUAACCCCCCG